rnacentral:rRNA from 1 species
GUGUACAAGUCUCUUGGAACAGAGCGUCAUAGAGGGUGAGAAUCCCGUCUUUGACACGGACUACCAGUGCUUUGUGAUGCGCUCUCAAAGAGUCGAGUUGUUUGGGAAUGCAGCUCAAAAUGGGUGGUGAAUUCCAUCUAAAGCUAAAUAUUGGCGAGAGACCGAUAGCGAACAAGUACCGUGAGGGAAAGAUGAAAAGCACUUUGGAAAGAGAGUUAAACAGUACGUGAAAUUGCUGAAAGGGAAACGCUUGAAGUCAGUCGCGUUGUCCGGAACUCAGCCUUGCUUUUGCUUGGUGCACUUUCCGGAUGACGGGUCAGCAUCGAUUUCGACCGUCGGAAAAGGGCUAGAGUAAUGUGGCACCUUCGGGUGUGUUAUAGACUCUGGUCGCAUACGGCGGUUGGGAUCGAGGAACGCAGCGCGCCGUAAGGCAGGGGUUCGCCCACUUUCGCGCUUAGGAUGCUGGCAUAAUGGCUUUAAACGACCCGUCUUGAAACACGGACCAAGGAGUCUAACAUACCUGCGAGUGUUUGGGUGGAAAACCCGAGCGCGUAAUGAAAGUGAAAGUUGAGACUCCUGUCGUGGGAGGCAUCGACGCCCGGACCAGACGUUCUCUGACGGAUCCGCGGUAGAGCAUGUAUGUUGGGACCCGAAAGAUGGUGAACUAUGCCUGAAUAGGGUGAAGCCAGAGGAAACUCUGGUGGAGGCUCGUAGCGAUUCUGACGUGCAAAUCGAUCGUCAAAUUUGGGUAUAGGGGCGAAAGACUAAUCG